rnacentral:rRNA from 1 species
GUGCCUACGGGACGCAGCAGUGGGGAAUAUUGGACAAUGGGGGAAACCCUGAUGCAGCAACGCCGCGUGAGUGAAGAAGUAUUUCGGUAUGUAAAGCUCUAUCAGCAGGGAAGAAGAUGACGGUACCUGACCAAGAAGCCCCGGCUAACUACGUGCCAGCAGCCGCGGUAAUACGUAAGGGGCAAGCGUUAUCCGGAUUUACUGGGUGUAAAGGGAGCGCAGACGGCAGUGCAAGUCUGGAGUGAAAGCCCGGGGCCCAACCCCGGAACUGCUCUGGACACUGUGCGGCUAGAGUACUGGAGGGG